rnacentral:tRNA from 2 species
GGUCCUGUGGCCCAAUGGAUAAGGCGUUUGACUACGGAUCAAAAGAUUCCAGGUUCGAGUCCUGGCUGGAUCA